GACAUGUUGAGGCAGAACACUCUUGGAAACUGUAACUGUUUCUUCAUGGAUGUACAAACGCAUGGCAUGAAGAUCCGUUUACCCUCAAGAUAUUCACACUACAUGUAUGUGCCAUACAGGAGGAUAAAAGCAAUCAAAUUAAGUGUCCUGCUCCUUCUGCUCCAGCUGCAGUUCAGUCAGACCAAACCCAUCGACUUCAUCUGUGACCCAGAGGUGAGGAGACGCAUGGAUGUGACGGAGACGCUGGAGCCGCUCAUGACGCACUGCUUGGACCAGCUGCCCUCGGACGUCCUGCAGCCGUGUGUCCGGAUAAACAUGGGAGCGUGGAAACAGACAUCAUUCCAGCAGAAGCAGGCAUUUGUACGUGACUCUCUGGAUGCUUUUCUUCGCUCCCUGGGGAACGUGAAGGAUAGUUUGUCCACUUCAUGUCAGACGGACGUCUUGAAGCUGCUGGAACGCAGUGUGAAGAACCACCUGCUCAUAGUGGAGCAUCUGGAGCGACGGAUUUCCACACUGACUCCAGAUUGGGACUGCGAGGGUCAUAAAACAUCCAGCUUGACUCAGACGGUGCGUUUCUACAGAAAGCUUCUGCGUGGUCCUGUGGGGCUCCUGAUGAAGGAUCUCACACACAUGUGCACAACACACACAUGAACUCCUGACACACACAACAUACAGAUGCUCAAAGGAUCCGUCUCAGUGCACUGUUACGCCUCUGAACAUCUCCUUAAAGUCAACUUAAAGACGAUUAACGAAAUUCAAGAAGUGAAAAUAAAUAAAUAAAAAUGAUUUGGGAAAAUAACACUGGAACAGGAAAGGAUUUACUGAGGAAAUGGAAAACCAGGGGCUGGAAUCAUGGAGAUCUUCUGAAGAAGAUUUUAUUUUUAUUUUUAUAAAUCAAGAUGAAUUCUAAGACAUUAAUAAGGAGGUUCCUAAGUGGAAUUCUUUAAAGCAUUUCAGAUAUUUUCUUACGUUCUAAAGUGUGUCCCUGCAGCACAAAAGCAGUCAUAAGUAGCACAGGUAUAUUU
ensembl:lncRNA